UGAAGAGGAGAUUUGGGAAGAUGCUGUUUCAUAAGUCGCUUUGCCUGAUCACGUCGGGAUGUCUGCUAACAAGAUGCCUUGCUGGUCUGGGCGAGUAUAAAGGCUUACACAGACAGUCCAGAGGUUCUGAAGUCCAUCUUCGAUCUCAUUGGACGAUUUAAGGUGUAGAAACAUCUCAGCAACCUCAAGAGAAAUUGGAGGCAACUGUGCUAAAUUGCAGAUGAUGUUGCAAAGGGUCUGAAUAUGUAUAAUGUAAAUAUGAUAUGUUUUCUUUUUUCAUACAUUUGCAAAAGUUUCUAAAAUUCUGUUUUUACUUUGUAAAAAUAUCUAAACAAUUACAGUAUCAUGCAACAACAUAAAAUUGAAAGUGAAAGGUGUAUGAUUUCUGAAUGGACUGUAGAUGAUCUUAAUUGUCAUCUUCGUAAACACAACAGCUUUGUUCCUUCAUCAGAUGGCUAUGCAAUGUUUCAAGUCAGACUAUCAAAGAAAACGCAUCUUGCCCUGAUGUGCAAUAACAAGAUUUUUUUGUACAUGGGCUAAAAUGCAGCAUUUUUUGAAAAUUAAAUAUCUUGUGUUUUUUCCCUCCUUAGAUGCUGUCAUCGUAUUAAGUACAGC